CCGUACUCGUUCGCGAUCAGCUCGUUCAUAUUCUCGAUCAGAUUCCCAUUCCCGAUCUUCUCUAUAUGAUCGUGAGCGAUCUAAUAAAAAGCGUAGGAAGGAUUCUUACGACAGCCCAUACUUCAAGUCAUCUUACAGAUUCAGACAUGACCAAGGCAUUAGCGACGAAUUUAUCUUCACCGCCAGUAUGGAGAACAAUCACUCGUUUUCCUUUACUUACUUGGUUCUCUUUAAACUCUUAGUUUUGCUUUUUGUCCCAAGCUUUAGAGACCACAGAAGAACUGUGAAAUUACGUUUCAUCCAACUGUAAAAUUUUACCUGCUUCAUGAAACUCUUGAAUUUUCUUAAAAAAUGCAACCUCAUAUUGCAAAUAUCUGAUUUUUGUUAUUAGAUGUUUCCUAUUACUUUCUGCCCUCUUCCACUUAAAACCGAGUUGCAAAAUAAUUUGUUGUAAACUAGAUAUUUAGAGAAGAACAUAUAACAUAUUGACAUAGCAAAAGAAUACGCCUUGUUCAUAUUGUAUUCUUUUUUUUCAUUGUCCUUAAAAUUAUUUUAAUGUUUGUCUUUCCUUUUCUAGUAUAUGAAAGUAGUUUAUUACUCUUCUCAGUAAACAUUUAUUAAAAUCA